UACAGAGGGUGCGAGCGUUGUCCGGAAUCACUGGGCGUAAAGGGCGCGUAGGUGGCGCCCCAAGUCCGUGGUGAAAGCUCGAUGCUCAACAUCGAGUCGGCCACGGAAACUGGGGGGCUCGAGCACUGUAGAGGCAGAUGGAAUUCCGGGUGUAGCGGUGGAAUGCGUAGAGAUCCGGAAGAACACCGGGUGGCGAAGGCGGUCUGCUGGGCAGUAGCUGACACUGAGGCGCGACAGCGUGGGGAGCAACAGG
rnacentral:rRNA from 1 species